UACGGGGGGGGCAAGCGUUGUUCGGAAUUACUGGGCGUAAAGGGCUCGUAGGCGGCCAACUAAGUCAGACGUGAAAUCCCUCGGCUUAACCGGGGAACUGCAUCUGAUACUGGAUGGCUUGAGUUCGGGAGAGGGAUGCGGAAUUCCAGGUGUAGCGGUGAAAUGCGUAGAUAUCUGGAGGAAUACCGGUGGCGAAGGCGGCAUCCUGGACCGGCAUUGACGCUGAGGCGCGAAAGCGUGGGAGCAAACAGG
rnacentral:rRNA from 1 species